rnacentral:rRNA from 1 species
CCUACGGGUGGCUGCAGUGGGGAAUAUUGGACAAUGGGCGAAAGCCUGAUCCAGCCAUGCCGCGUGUGUGAAGAAGGCCUUCGGGUUGUAAAGCACUUUCAGUGGGGAAGAAAGCCUUGGGGCUAAUACCCUCGAGGAAGGACAUCACCCACAGAAGAAGCACCGGCUAACUCCGUGCCAGCAGCCGCGGUAAUACGGAGGGUGCGAGCGUUAAUCGGAAUUACUGGGCGUAAAGCGCGCGUAGGCGGUCUGAUAAGCCGGUUGUGAAGCCCCGGGCUCAACCUGGGAACGGCAUCCGGAACUGUCAGGCUAGAGUGCAGGAGAGGAAGGUAGAAUUCCCGGUGUAGCGGUGAAAUGCGUAGAGAUCGGGAGGAAUACCAGUGGCGAAGGCGGCCUUCUGGACUGACACUGACGCUGAGGUGCGAAAGCGUGGGUAGCAAACAGGAUUAGAUACCCGAGUAGUC